rnacentral:rRNA from 1 species
CCUACGGGUGGCAGCAGUGGGGAAUAUUGGACAAUGGGGGGAACCCUGAUCCAGCCAUGCCGCGUGUGUGAAGAAGGCCCUCGGGUUGUAAAGCACUUUCAGUGAGGAAGAACGCCUGGUGGUUAAUACCCAUCAGUAAAGACAUCACUCACAGAAGAAGCACCGGCUAACUCCGUGCCAGCAGCCGCGGUAAUACGGAGGGUGCGAGCGUUAAUCGGAAUUACUGGGCGUAAAGCGCGCGUAGGUGGCUUGAUAAGCCGGUUGUGAAAGCCCCGGGCUCAACCUGGGAACGGCAUCCGGAACUGUCAAGCUAGAGUGCAGGAGAGGAAGGUAGAAUUCCCGGUGUAGCGGUGAAAUGCGUAGAGAUCGGGAGGAAUACCAGUGGCGAAGGCGGCCUUCUGGACUGACACUGACACUGAGGUGCGAAAGCGUGGGUAGCAAACAGGAUUAGAUACCCCGGUAGUC